UACGUAGGGGGCGAGCGUUGUCCGGAGUUACUGGGCGUAAAGCGCACGCAGGCGGUUUCGUACGUCUGGAGUGACAGUUCCCGGCUCAACUGGGAAAGGUCUUCGGAAACGGCGAGACUUGAGGGCUUCAGAGGGACACGGAAUUCCGGGUGGAGUGGUGAAAUGCGUAGAGAUCCGGAGGAACACCAGAGGCGAAGGCGGCCUACUGGGCUGCACCUGACGCUGAGCCGCGAAAGCCAGGGGAGCGAACGGG
rnacentral:rRNA from 1 species